rnacentral:rRNA from 1 species
ACGGGUGAGUAACACGUAGGCAACCUGCCUGUAAGACUGGGAUAACUACCGGAAACGGUAGCUAAUACCGGAUAGGUGAUUUUCUCGCAUGAGGGAAUCAAGAAAGACGGAGCAAUCUGUCACUUACGGAUGGGCCUGCGGCGCAUUAGCUAGUUGGUGAGGUAAUGGCUCACCAAGGCGACGAUGCGUAGCCGACCUGAGAGGGUGAACGGCCACACUGGGACUGAGACACGGCCCAGACUCCUACGGGAGGCAGCAGUAGGGAAUCUUCCGCAAUGGACGAAAGUCUGACGGAGCAACGCCGCGUGAGUGAUGAAGGUUUUCGGAUCGUAAAGCUCUGUUGCCAGGGAAGAACGUCUUAGAGAGUAACUGCUCUAAGAGUGACGGUACCUGAGAAGAAAGCCCCGGCUAACUACGUGCCAGCAGCCGCGGUAAUACGUAGGGGGCAAGCGUUGUCCGGAAUUAUUGGGCGUAAAGCGCGCGCAGGCGGCUAUGUAAGUCUGGUGUAUAACCUCAGGGCUCAACCCUGGGUCGCACUGGAAACUGUGUAGCUUGAGUACAGAAGAGGAAAGUGGAAUU